rnacentral:lncRNA from 1 species
UCCUGGUAGAAUUUUUUUUCUUAUAAGAAUAUCAGUUUGUAUAAACAUGUGAGGUUUACAUGAUGAUGGUCAUAAAUUAGUUCUGCACAGUGAAAUAUUUUGAAGGAAUUGUGACCUUCAUACAAACUAUUUUAUAGGUCAUUUCAUUAAUUCACCAAUGUUCUAUUUCUUUUGAAUCCUAUAGAUAGGUUUUAAUGGGAUAUGAUACACAAUGUAGCACCUAUUGAAGAAUCUGUUUUAAUAAGAUUCCAGUAUUUCCUGAAUACUUUUUGAAGUUCUUCUGCUUGAGAAUGAUAAUAUGUAAUGAAUGAUACAUAACAUCUAUUUUAAACUUUUUCCUUUUUCUUAAUCAUGUUUAUCUUUUCUGUCAUGGAAUUUGAUAAAAUUUGUUUUACCAAUUUCAGUUAAUAAAAUCGUCUUUCAAUAAAGAGUUUUCUUUCUGGUUUGUGUUUUCUAUGUAAAUGAAUACUUUGCCUUUAAUAUAGGAUUUAAAGUUCCAAAUGGGUUGGUUUGGGUUUUUAUGAAGAUGUUGGAAUUUUUCUGUAUUUUUUUUUAUAGCAUUUCACCAGUAUUUUCAUGUGUUCGUCUUUGAGGAUUUCAAGGUCUAGAAAUUUUAUGGAAUGAUUAUUGCAUUCCUGAGUAAACUUUAGCAGGUAGUGUUGUUGAAUAAAUUGAGUGGUAGGGAUGAGCUGGUCACCAUGGUCACUAUUUCAAGCUCUAUAAUAAUUACAUAUUUCAUGAUAAAAUCUUGAAAUUUAGAUGGAGGUGAAGUUUUCAACUUGCCUGUUUAUAUCACAAGUGUCUGAAACUAAUUAGAUGUCAGAAUCUUUUGAUGUUUGUUAAUGUUUCCAAUAGUGUGGUCAAAUCAAUUAUCUCUAAAUCAAAUUUUCCAUGCAAUCUUACCAGCUAUUUAUUUGCUGUUUGUGCUUUUGAUCCUAUUAUUUUGACAUUUUCACCUAAUUAACAUUAACAAUAUAUAAUAAUGAAACAUUACAUUACUACAAAUGUAUCCUGAAAAGAAAUUCUUAUGUGUUUAGAAGAAAUGGCAAUGUAUCUUUCAUCUGUUAAAUACAUGUAUACUUUAGGUUUAUCUUAUUUUCAUACAAAAACAUUUAUAUGCUUUAUGACAGAUAUACAUUUUUGAUAAGUAAAAAUAUGAUAUGGGAAGGGUUGGGUACGUGC